rnacentral:rRNA from 1 species
UGUGUGUUAGUGGAAGCGUCUGGAAAGGCGCGCGAUACAGGGUGACAGCCCCGUACACAAAAAUGCACAUGCUGUGAGCUCGAUGAGUAGGGCGGGACACGUGGUAUCCUGUCUGAAUAUGGGGGGACCAUCCUCCAAGGCUAAAUACUCCUGACUGACCGAUAGUGAACCAGUACCGUGAGGGAAAGGCGAAAAGAACCCCGGCGAGGGGAGUGAAAAAGAACCUGAAACCGUGUACGUACAAGCAGUGGGAGCACGCUUAGGCGUGUGACUGCGUACCUUUUGUAUAAUGGGUCAGCGACUUAUAUUCUGUAGCAAGGUUAACCGAAUAGGGGAGCCGAAGGGAAACCGAGUCUUAACUGGGCGUUAAGUUGCAGGGUAUAGACCCGAAACCCGGUGAUCUAGCCAUGGGCAGGUUGAAGGUUGGGUAACACUAACUGGAGGACCGAACCGACUAAUGUUGAAAAAUUAGCGGAUGACUUGUGGCUGGGGGUGAAAGGCCAAUCAAACCGGGAGAUAGCUGGUUCUCCCCGAAAGCUAUUUAGGUAGCGCCUCGUGAACUCAUCUCCGGGGGUAGAGCACUGUUUCGGCAAGGGGGUCAUCCCGACUUACCAACCCGAUGCAAACUGCGAAUACCGGAGAAUGUUAUCACGGGAGACACACGGCGGGUGCUAACGUCCGUCGUGAAGAGGGAAACAACCCAGACCGCCAGCUAAGGUCCCAAAGUCAUGGUUAAGUGGGAAACGAUGUGGGAAGGCCCAGACAGCCAGGAUGUUGGCUUAGAAGCAGCCAUCAUUUAAAGAAAGCGUAAUAGCUCACUGGUCGAGUCGGCCUGCGCGGAAGAUGUAACGGGGCUAAACCAUGCACCGAAGCUGCGGCAGCGACGCUUAUGCGUUGUUGGGUA